rnacentral:lncRNA from 1 species
GGAGUCUCCGAGCUGGAAAGGCUCUGAUUCGUGAAUCCUUCAUUGCUCGGUUAAACUUAUUUAAAUUUAAUUCAGCUGAAGUUUUUCUUUCAUCAAAAGAAUUAAUCACAUUAAUACUCCUCCAGGUUCUUUUUUUUUUUUUUUUUUUUUGAGACGGAGUCUCUGUCAUCCAGGCUGGAGUACAGUGGCACCAUCUCAGCUCACUGCAACCUCCGCCCCUCGGGUUCAAGCGAUUCUCCUGCCUCAGCCUCCCAAAUAGCUGGGAUUACAGGCGCCUGCCACCGUGCCUGGCUAAUUUUUGUAUUUUUAGUAGAGACAGGGUUUCACCAUCUUGGCCAGGGUGGUCUUGAACUCCUGACCUCGUGAUCCACCCGCCUCAGCCUCCCAAAGUGUUGGGAUUACAGGCGUGAGCCACUGUGCCUGGCCUACUGCUCCAGGUUCUAUGAAAAUUAACCAUUUGUUAUGUUUGCAGGCCAACUUUUUUUUAAGAUAGUGUUUGUCAAAAUCAGUGGGGAAGAAAAACAUAUAUAUUCAUUUUACCUGAUUUAUUGACUCCAUUUUAAUCAUUGUAAAGUGUUUUUAGGUAUAUUAACCUGAUUUUCUUACAUACAAGCUUUGUAUAUUUGGGGAAAAAAAUCCCACAAACACUGAAAUAAUGCCUAUAUCUAGUUGGUAAUUGAUUAGAACAGAUUUUAGCAAAUCAUACUUAAAUGUCUCUGAAUUUGGCAUGCCUCACCUCACCAGGUUUGCUGCAAUUUUGGAACUCAUAAUUUUUCCUAUUUAGUGAGAAAUUUCUAAAAUCAAAUUUUAAAAUCAUAUCAUGUAACAUCAAAAUGACAGAAGCUAUCAGCAACAUAUCUACAAGAUUAUUUUAGAUGUGUUAAAUUCGUAUGUCCAAACUGCUUUAGACUAGUGUGAAACAAAUAUGAAUAAAAGACACCUCUUCUAGGAUUUGGAAAGACAAUCACUCCUAUUGCUUUUUGUGACAAAGCAAUUGUCACAAAAGCAUGAGGCAGCUGCUGCUACAGAUAUGUUCAAGGACUUACUUGAGCACAGAAGAUCGAGUCAUCAACUGUACUUGGGCAUCAUCAAGAAAGAUGGCACAUGAGUAGGGUCUUAAAUUAGCUAAUUAAGCUCCUGCAAGUCUCUCAAUAUUCUCCCAGCUCUAACUUCCUUGUUUGUUGAACAUAAAUCCUAAUGCCAACCUUUUGGUUUGUUUGAGAUUAGGGAAGGGGCAUAUAAUGAGCUUGUCAAAGUGCUUACCCAUUGACUAACAGCACUAACAGGAACAGGAACAUUACAAAGCAUAACAGCUGUUCAAAUGCUAUUUAUUAACCUCAUUUCAUUUAAAAUAUAAGUAAAAAACUAUUCUGAUUGAUCAUUCAACUGUUCUUUACAAAUCAUUUAUUUCCUAACAUAAAAUUUCUUAAUCACAUCCUAAUUUGUGUGAUCAACUCAAAAUGUUAUUGACAUUGUUUAUAACCACUAAACUAAAUGUGCGAAUUAUUUAUUCAAAAUAUCUUUAUGAUGUAGCCUAUUUUUUAUGUCUUCCAAAGUAAGCACAAUUUUUUCUAAUGAAAUUUUACCCCUGUCCUGUAAGUGAUUUGAGUUUUUAUGCCAUUGUCUAUAGUUCAUUCAUUAACAAAUAUUUUUUGAGUAAUAACUCUGUGCCUGGUGUUCUAGGUGCCAAAAUAUAAUAGUGAUUAUCACGAAGACCCUUGUCCUCAUAAAUCUUACAUUAUAACAGGGAGACAGACAAUUAACAAUAAGUGUAAUAAUUGUAUAGAAUAUUAGCAGACAAAAAGUGCUAUAAGGGGAAAAAAAGUAGAACAGGGUAAGGAAAAUUUGGAGUGGGAUGGGUAGUUUUCAUUGAGAAAGCGACAUUUGACACUUGAAGAAGGUUAGGAAUUUAUUCAUGCCAUUCUGAGGAAAGAGUGUUCCAAGCAGAGGGAACGGCCAGUGAGAAGACCAAUGGCUGGAGGAGGCUCCUGUGGGGCUGGAAGCAGAGAAAGGGAGAGGAGUGGUGGAGGGGAGACAGAUGGUAGGCCAUUGGAGGACUUUGUCUUCCUCUUGGAGUGCAACGGAGUGUGUGAGCACAGAUUCAGAAUGCUCUGGUGUGCUGCUUUUUUUUUUUAAUGCAUUUUAGAUUUUUUUUUUUUUUUUUUUUUUUAGACGGAGUCUCACUCUGUCAACCAGGCUGGAGUGCAGUGGCAUGAUCUCAGCUCACUGCAACCUCUGUCUCCCGGGUUCAAGCAAUUCUUCUGCCUCAGCCUCCCAAGUAGCUGGGACUACAGGCGUGCGCCACCAUGCCUGGCUAAUUUUGCAUUUUAGAUUUUUAAAGGAUCAGAGGAUCAGCCUGUCCACUGUGUUGAGAAGGCACUAUGGAGACCCCAAGGGUCAAAGCAGACAGAUGGGUUAGGAGGUGAUUAUACAGGUGAGAGCUGCCCAUGGCUCAGAGAAGCACUGUAAGAGUAGGUGUGAUCAGCAUGGUUGGAGUUAGAAUGUAUUUUGAAGGAGUAAUCAACAAUGAUUUUGGACAGGUUUAUAUAGGAUGUGAGAGCAGAUAAGCAAAUGUGUCCAUUUCAUGGAAAAUUAUUAUAAGCCAAAACACUGUAUUUUAAAAUUUGAAAUAGUAUAUACUUUUUUGUGCUCAAGUAUUCUUUCUAUUAAACUGCAUAUAAUUAAGCUGCAUAUAAAGUAAACAAAAACUUUAUGAAAAUAUUUUUCAAAAGAUUGGCAUGGUGAGUCUUGGGAAGCGAAAUCUCUACAACUAAGUCUUGGAAAAUUGGAAGAGCUGCCUGCUGGUUCCCUUUGCUCUGACCUUUGGGAGGAUAACUACAUCAUAGAUGCUGUCAAUUUCUCUCAUUUCCAUCAACCAACUUUGAAGUGGCAUUUACUGAUUUCACUAAGUGAGAUUCUGCUGGGGUUUGGCCUUGGGAUUUCCAAAUUUGUGACUUCUUAUUCUUCUGUGCACUCUUUGCCAGCCUGUCUUGGAGGAGAAAUUCAUAUUACUGUCAAGAGAAAAUUACUUCCAGUUCUUUUGCAUGUCAAAUCUUGUCAUUUCUGCAGGUGUGGCCCAUUGUGACUCAGGAUACGAGGUGAGGUUUUGGAUUUUUAUUGUCACUUUCCUUUCUGUGAACUAUCUAAAUGCAUAACUCCCCUCCCCUCUAUCUCUUUAUGCACCCGUGUCACUUUGGGUAUUGUUACUUAAUUCCUCUUUUUUUGCAGAAUGUGAGCUGUUGUACUCUCUUAGGAUCUACUUGUCAAGAAGAUAAUUCUACAAUAAAACUUUUCAAUCAUAAAGUUUUUGUUUAACAUUCUCAUAAGUGAUGGGAUAUUUAAAAUAUCUAUUUAAAAUAAAUAUAUAUUGACUGAUUAGUAAGAGGCUGGGCCUCUUCUUUGGGAACCUCUGGAGAGUGUUAAAUUAACUGAUUGGCCAAGUGGGAAAGUUUAAUGUUCCCCUCAGACCUGAGUAAAAUAUAAGGUUUCCUUUUUGUAGCCUCUCUAUAUUUAACACUUUGCUGUUAAUAAAUGCGAUGCAUUAUCUCCUUGGACAACCAAGAAAAUCUUUCUCGAAUAUUUCAAGGAAGGAUUGUUUUAGACUGUGUUAGUUACUUAAUUCACUUACAUGUGAUAAAUGUUGUAGGUAUCAGGAUGGAAAAUAAAGCUAUUCUCUUUCACUCCAGGCAAAAUCAUCUCUUACCUCUGCAUCUGAGCGUGGCACUACUCCCGCUCACAUGAAAUGCUGUUCUUGGAAGAAAUACAGAUCACCUUCUACACCUGUGGUAUCUCUGCAGCUCUGUCACUACCAAGUUAUUGGCAAUAAGGAACACACAGGGCCAACAUGAGAAACCACACUGAGCCUUUCUGACACGUCAGCUACUUUUAUAUCACUCCUUGCUUAGAGCAAGACAUAAAUGGGCUCUUAAUCCAAAUCAGUACAUUUUUGAGAACCAUUUGGCAACUUCUUAAACAGGACAAGUUACAUCUUAGCUGGUACAACCUUCAUAGAGAGAAUCCAGGUUUGGGUCUACCUUGAGAGGCCAUGUAGAGUAUAACAGAACUGGACUGUGAGUCAGGAGACCCCCAACUCUGCUACUAACUGGCAGUGUGACCUUGGGAAGGUGCUGAAUCACCUGAGAAACACAUUGUUUUAUCAGCUAAAAUGUUUUUAAAGAUACUACUACUGUCCCUUAAUGACAGGUCUGUGUUCUGAGAAAUAUGUCAUCAGGCAAUUUUGUCCUUGUGCAAACAUCAUAGAGUGAACUCACACAAACCUAGAUGGUAUAGCCCACUACACACCUAGGCUACAUGGUAUAGCCUAUUGCUCCCAGUCUACAAACCUGUACAGCAUGUUACUGUGCUGAGUCCUGCAAGCAAUUGGAACACCAUGGCUGCAAUUUCACUAGAUGACAGGAAUUUUCAUCUCCAUUAUAAUCUUGUGGGUCCACCAAAUGUAGUUUGUCCUUGACUGAAACGUUGCUAGGCAAUGCAUGACUAUAUAUGAUUCUAUAUCUAUUUUGUGGCAAUCUUAUUAGAUAAAGAUAGUAUUAUAAUAAAGCGAAUACUUUGGGCUAGGAUCUUCUAUGGCAUUAACUUUUUGAUCUUCCCUCCCAGAUUGAAAAGACUGCUCAGAGAUUUGUGUGUCCUUUUCCCUGCCAAGACUCAUAGAUAUGGCCAGGAUGUUCUGUAACAUACGCAUUACAGUGCCACAGUAAUCAAACUUACUGUCUGUGCAAGAAACAUAUGGUACAAGAAUAAUAAUUCUAUAUUUAGAAAAAGUAACUUCAGCCAAAGCUUUCAAUUUCUUGAACUUCAUAUUCAAAAAGUCAGGAAAACAUUAUGUUAUGUCCAGAAAAUGAUUACAUUCAUCCAUAAAGAGAAGUAAGCAUAAUAAUAAUUAUGUCCUUAUUAAAAACUCAAAGAAUAUAUGUUUCUGAGUAAAGAAUAGACAAUGAAAACAAAGUUCACUAAUGCCAGAAUAUUGAGGAAGACAGCCCCUGGAGGAGGGAGGAGACUUUGUAAUAUAACUAUAAUUUUCCUAAAUUAGGUGGUGCAAGUAUGAAGGAAUAAUAUUUCAAAUUAUGGCUUUUGGAGACUCUCUAGUUUCAGGGUGGGAAGACACCAAGUGCAGUCUUGGCUUUUAUUUCUGUCUGAAAGGCAAAUCUCACUGGUGGUUCUUUUAUGCGCAUGACAAGAGCAGUCAAUUUUUUCUUCUAAGUUUCAUGCCCCUGAGCCAGUAUUGUACUGCAGCUGGACUGCAUUAACUUAAUAGAGCCAAUUGUGCUGAUGUUUCCAGCUCCCAGUUCAAUGAGUCACAUAGGUGACUUGAAAUCAGCCAAAAUAGGAGUAUUUACACAAUGGAAAUUGGUCAACACUCAAACCAGACCUCCCCAUCAGAGCCCAUUGCAAAAGAUUUACCAACACAGUACUGCCUUGAUCCCAUGAACCCUGACACUCAUCUACCACAGCUCACUCUAUCUUCCCACACAGCCCCAUCUCCUGAGUGAUGCUGCAUGCAUAGCGAAUGAGACAUUACAACUUUCUUUCAGACUCCCAGCCAUGGCCCCAGCCACACUCCCCACCCACAGCCCCAGCCCCAUUCGCCACCCACUUUAAUAGUUCCCAUAUUGCAAUUAUAGUAAAAAGAAUUGGAUAAAGAAAUUGGUAUUGGGUAGAAAUUACAGAUAGAUAAUAGUAAUAGAGUGAUUAGGUCCACUGGUAGGUACAUUAAAGGGCUAGUAAAUACAGAUUGAACGGAAUUGAAUAGCUUUCCUCGUCUGGUCUGGUCAAUGCACAUUUUUUUCCAGGGUAUGAGACAUAGUCAAAGUUGUCCAAUAGUAUCAAAUAGCUCCAACGUUUCAAAGGUUUCAACUUAUCUUCAGUCAAAUUACUUCCCUCAUAAUACAAAUGGAGAAGAACACAUUCUGUGAAGCUGAUUUUUCUUCCACUAGAAAAGUCAGAUUAUGGAGAAUGGCAUCAGCAAGGUAGCAGGGCAUAGUGCAGACCACACAGCAACAAAUGAGAUGCCAAAUUUGGGGCCACAUGUUUUGAGCAAAUGUGCCUUCAGCUUUCCUUCCUUUAAUCAGUAAACUGACUAAAAGCAAGCUGCAUACAUUUCCCUGGAGAUAAGGUACAUGCUUUGAAACACUG